rnacentral:rRNA from 1 species
GUGCCAGCAGCCGCGGUAAUACGUAGGUGGCAAGCGUUGUCCGGAUUUAUUGGGUUUAAAGGGUGCGUAGGCGGUUUUCUAAGUCAGCAGUGAAAUACGGCAGCUCAACUGUCGAGGUGCUGUUGAUACUGGGGAACUUGAGUACUGAUGAGGUAGGCGGAAUGGACGGUGUAGCGGUGAAAUGCUUAGAGAUCGUCCAGAACACCGAUAGCGAAGGCAGCUUACUAAGGAGUAACUGACGCUGAGGCACGAAAGUGUGGGGAUCAAACAGGAUUAGAUACCCUGGUAGUCC